UUCUAGCCCCGAUUGAAAUGGAAAUCCUUUUUCUUUGCGAUAGCAAGAAAAAGAUUGUAAUGGAAAGCGGGACCAAUC
rnacentral:sRNA from 1 species